GAUGAACGCUGGCGGCGUGCCUAAUACAUGCAAGUCGAGCGAACAGACGAGGAGCUUGCUCCUCUGACGUUAGCGGCGGACGGGUGAGUAACACGUGGAUAACCUACCUAUAAGACUGGGAUAACUUCGGGAAACCGGAGCUAAUACCGGAUAAUAUAUUGAACCGCAUGGUUCAAUAGUGAAAGACGGUUUUGCUGUCACUUAUAGAUGGAUCCGCGCCGCAUUAGCUAGUUGGUAAGGUAACGGCUUACCAAGGCAACGAUGCGUAGCCGACCUGGGAGGGUGAUCGGCGACACGGGAACGGAGACGCGGGCCAGACGCCGACGGGAGGCAGCAGUAGGGAAUCUUCCGCAAUGGGCGAAAGCCUGACGGAGCAACGCCGCGUGAGUGAUGAAGGUCUUCGGAUCGUAAAACUCUGUUAUUAGGGAAGAACAAAUGUGUAAGUAACUAUGCACGUCUUGACGGUACCUAAUCAGAAAGCCACGGCUAACUACGUG
rnacentral:rRNA from 1 species